rnacentral:rRNA from 1 species
AGGGCACCACCAGGAGUGGAGCCUGCGGCUUAAUUUGACCCAACACGGGGAAACUCACCCGGCCCGGACACUGUAAGGAUGGACAGAUUAAAAGCUCUUUCUUGAUUCAGUGGGUGGUGGUGCAUGGCCGUUCUUAGUUGGUGGAGUGAUUUGUCUGGUUAAUUCCGAUAACGAACGAGACUCUGACCUGCUAAAUAGUACGUUGGUAUUGGCACUCAGCAAUGGGUGUUCUCGCUGACGCUGACUUCUUAGAGGGAUUCGCAGUAUUCAAACUGCACGAAAUAGAGCAAUAACAGGUCUGUGAUGCCCUUAGAUGUCCGGGGCCGCACGCGCGCUACAAUGACAGCUUCAGAGAGUUUUGCAACCUGGUCCGAAAGGAUUGGGAAAUCUUGGCAUAGCUGUCUCCUCAGGGAUUGGGGUUUGUAACUGUCCCCCAUGAACGAGGAAUUCCCAGUAGGCGCAAGUCAUCAGCUUGCGCCGAUUACGUCCCUGCCCUUUGUACACACCGCCCGUCGCUAC